rnacentral:piRNA from 1 species
UAUAUCUGGGGAAAAAUCAUGGUGU